rnacentral:rRNA from 1 species
UACGUAGGGGGCAAGCGUUGUCCGGAAUUAUUGGGCGUAAAGGGCACGCAGGCGGUUUCGUCAGUCCGAUGUGACAGGCCACGGCUCAACCGUGGAAGGCCAUUGGAAACUGCGAAACUUGAGGACAGAAGAGGAGAGUGGAAUUCCACGUGUAGCGGUGAAAUGCGUAGAUAUGUGGAGGAACACCAGUGGCGAAGGCGACUCUCUGGUCUGUACCUGACGCUGAGGUG